UAAUGACUCUCGGCAACGGAUAUCUCGGCUCUUGCAUCGAUGAAGAACGYAGCGAAAUGCGAUACUUGGUGUGAAUUGCAGAAUCCCGUGAACCAUCGAGUCUUUGAACGCAAGUUGCGCCCAAAGUCGUUAGGCUGAGGGCACGCCUGCCUGGGCGUCACGC
rnacentral:rRNA from 1 species